GGGGCCCGCACAAGCGGAGGAACAUGUGGUUUAAUUCGAUGAUACGCGAGGAACCUUACCUGGGUUUAAAUGGGAAGUGACAGCUUUAGAAUAGAGCCUUCUUCGGACACUUUUCAAGGUGCUGCAUGGUUGUCGUCAGCUCGUGCCGUGAGGUGUCGGGUUAAGUCCCAUAACGAGCGCAACCCCUAUUGAUAGUUACCAGCACGUAAUGGUGGGGACUCUAUCGAGACUGCCGGUGUAAACCGUGAGGAAGGUGGGGAUGACGUCAAAUCAGCACGGCCCUUACAUCCAGGGCUACACACGUGUUACAAUGGCCGGUACAAAGGGCAGCUACUCCGCGAGGAGAUGCGAAUCUUAAAAACCGGUCUCAGUUCGGAUCGAAGUCUGCAACCCGACUUCGUGAAGCUGGAUUCGCUAGUAAUCGUAUAUCAGCCAUGAUACGGUCGAAUACGUUCCCGGGCCUU
rnacentral:rRNA from 1 species